rnacentral:rRNA from 1 species
AGAGUUUGAUCCUGGCUCAGGAUGAACGCUGGCGGCAUGCCUAAUACAUGCAAGUCGAACGAAGUCUUUAGGAAGCUUGCUUCCAAAGAGACUUAGUGGCGAACGGGUGAGUAACACGUAGGUAACCUGCCCAUGUGCCCGGGAUAACUGCUGGAAACGGUAGCUAAAACCGGAUAGGUAUGAGGGAGGCAUCUUCCUCAUAUUAAAGCACCUUCGGGUGUGAACAUGGAUGGACCUGCGGCGCAUUAGCUGGUUGGUGAGGUAACGGCCCACCAAGGCGAUGAUGCGUAGCCGACCUGAGAGGGUGAACGGCCACAUUGGGACUGAGACACGGCCCAAACUCCUACGGGAGGCAGCAGUAGGGAAUUUUCGUCAAUGGGGGGAACCCUGAACGAGCAAUGCCGCGUGUGUGAAGAAGGUCUUCGGAUCGUAAAGCACUGUUGUAAGUGAAGAAUGCCAUAUAGAGGAAAUGCUAUGUGGGUGACGGUAGCUUACCAGAAAGCCACGGCUAACUACGUGCCAGCAGCCGCGGUAAUACGUAGGUGGCAAGCGUUAUCCGGAAUCAUUGGGCGUAAAGGGUGCGUAGGUGGCACGAUAAGUCUGAAGUAAAAGGCAACAGCUCAACUGUUGUAUGCUUUGGAAACUGUCGAGCUAGAGUGCAGAAGAGGGCGAUGGAAUUCCAUGUGUAGCGGUGAAAUGCGUAGAUAUAUGGAGGAACACCAGUGGCGAAGGCGGUCGCCUGGUCUGUAACUGACACUGAUGCACGAAAGCGUGGGGAGCAAAUAGGAUUAGAUACCCUAGUAGUCCACGCCGUAAACGAUGAG